rnacentral:lncRNA from 1 species
AAUUUGGUUCGGGAAAUUUCUUUCAAUGAACACUUAGAGUUUUCAUAAACAUUAGUCUAGCUGAAUCGAAUAACAUAGACUCAUAUCGAUAAUUCAGUUCAAUAGAAUUAUUUAAGUAUAGACAAACCCCGUUGGCAAAUUAAAAUUUUUGAAAACAUUUUUCGAGAAUGACGUCAUGAUGUCGUACCGUAUCUACAGUCCGUUGAGGAUUCCGUCAUUUGGUGAUUUUAUCAUACUACAUCAUACCAUAGUGGGCUGACGAUCCUGAGAUCACAUCCAACACUAAGUAAUACUGCAUUGAUGACUCCAUCAUUUUUUUAUCAUCUCUGUACCAGGUUGCAUGGUACAUAGGUGAUAAAUAAAAAUAACUUUUGACAUUUCAAAUCAUCUGCGUCUAGCCGAAAUAAGUAGCAUAGACUAUACUUUAAACCGUUUCAAAAAUGAUUACGAGUCUACAUUUUUAUUUUCAAAAGCACAUAGUGCGUAUUUAGCUUGAUGUCAAAAAUUCGAAGUUUAGCAUAGCUAGGAGUUUAGGAAAACCUAACACCUUUACUAAUAAUCAUUUGCUUAACAAUCUAUCUGUUCCUAUAAUCCUCAAUACUUCUUUCACACAUAACUAUACCCAGUUCGUCAACUUACCACACUUAUGAGUUCAGGAACUUACCACAAUCAUAUGAGUUUAAGAACUUUCCUAGACAAACCUUUGGCGUCCAUUCGCUGAG